GAAUAUUGGACAAUGGGGGCAACCCUGAUCCAGCCAUGCCGCGUGUGUGAAGAAGGCCUUUUGGUUGUAAAGCACUUUAAGCAGUGAAGAAGACUCCAUGGUUAAUACCCAUGGACGAUGACCUUAGCUGCAGAAUAAGACACGGCCAACUCUGUUCCAGCAGCCGCGGUAAUCCCGAGGGUGCAAGCGUUAGUCGGAAUUACUGGGCGUAAAGCGAGAGUAGGUGGCUUGAUAAGUCAGAUGUGAAAUCCCCGGGCUUAACCUGGGAACUGCAUCUGAUACUGUUAGGCUAGAAUAGGUGAGAGGAAGGUAGAAUUCCAGGUGUAGCGGUGAAAUGCGUAGAGAUCUGGAGGAAUACCGAUGGCGAAGGCAGCCUUCUGGCAUCAUAUUGACACUGAGGUUCGAAAGCGUGGGUAGCAAAC
rnacentral:rRNA from 1 species